UACGUAGGGACCAAGCGUUGUUCGGAAUUACUGGGCGUAAAGGGCGCGUAGGCGGCCAACUAAGUCAGACGUGAAAUCCCUCGGCUCAACCGGGGAACUGCGUCUGAUACUGGAUGGCUUGAAUUCGGGAGAGGGAUGCGGAAUUCCAGGUGUAGCGGUGAAAUGCGUAGAUAUCUGGAGGAACACCGGUGGCGAAGGCGGCAUCCUGGACCGAGAUUGACGCUGAUGCGCGAAAGCCAGGGGAGCAAACGGG
rnacentral:rRNA from 1 species